CCCAGAUGUCAGUAGUACACUGUUUCAGCUCCUAGGGGAGGUGGUCCUAUUUUAAUUUUUGACCACUUUAUUUUUAGCAAUGGGGAGUCUCCUUUUUAAUUUAGUUUAUUUUUUUAAUGCUACAUGAAACCUUCUGUGCUACAAACUCCCCACAUGAGCCCAGCUGAUGUGAGUAUUCAGCUCAGGGCAGCUGAGAACGGAGCACAGCCACAAACAGAAGGCAGCAUCAGCGAAUCAUACAGGAGCUGAAAGUUCAGAGAGGGAACAGAGAACUGACCUACGUGGAGCAGGAAGAGCUUCUGACCGGUGGUGAGCAAUGUAGACUUAGCACAAAAUUGGAGUUGCGUUACCAAAUUCCCAGCUCUGUCUGGUCACCAGCUGUGAGCACAAAGACUGCAUUGCGUGUGAGCCAGAUUCCCUCCUAUGUGGCAAUCCACCCAAAUGAAGGGUAAACACAAAUGGCUUUUCUCAAGUUCUUCUGCUUUCAGGAAUUAAACUCAUCAACUUCAUCUUUAUAUUAUCAAAGUACUCUUGGGUUUUGAGAGCUUUCAACUCUACAUGGUUAUCACAAAUAGCCCUGCAAUGCGUGCCAGUCAACCAAGCGUGCAAUGAAAUUUACGUCAAAUUGUCUUUUGAACAAAAAUGUUUUUCUUUAAAAAAAAAAUAAAGAUCAGUUUUCAUUAUAAUACUCAGAGCUUUGUACAUCAAAAGCUAGAAAUAUAGUAACCCCAUGUUUUUGGAUUUUGUUAUAGUAUUCAAAAGAAAUAGAGUUCCUUGCAGUGAUAUGUACAUAAAAAGUACUCUCUUCCACUGGAGCAUAAUUGUAACAGCACUAAAAUAUUACACAACCUGAACACCAUGUCUCCUUUCAGUGAAAUCUUGGGACGUGUUACAACUGUGAUGUCAAUCAUGUAUGUUGUAACACAUCCUGACUUACUGCCUUCUCUGAUCAUCCUGUGGUGAUAGAGAUGUGCGCUGUGCUUCUCUCUUCCUCUUUCCUUAGGAUUUUUUUUUUCAAUGGGGAAAACAUAUCAGGCCUUUAUAAGGCCUAUUAAACAUACGUGUUUCUUCUGAUAUGUGAGUGCUGAAAGUGAAGUCUCACAUGGGGAAAUUGCUGCUUUGGUUUAACUCAUGAUGCUUAGCUAAAAUUAAAAGUAAAUGGAAGGAUAACUGAGUAAUCAUCAUCUCAUAAUGCUGCAGCAUCUGUAUGGAUUGAAUAAAAAGUUUGGCAAUCUCUGGAAGUACAUAAAAGAUUGAUACUGAGUUUACUCAGUGAACUGUUAUUAUUAAUUAGUAAUUAGUAGUGAUAAUAGUGAUAACCUGCACAGUACAGAAAAUGGAGUCAAUCCAUUCUCAGCAGCAUAAGUUUGAUUGAAUUGUUAUUUGUGAAGGGUCUGAUUUUGCUGGUGCAUUUCCAUGUUUUAAUCUCAAUGUUUUCUUUAACAGUUUUCUGCCCCAAGCAGUUACUCUCAUAGUAGUUGGUUAUAAACACUUGAUAUAUCCUAUCUGAAGAGAAACAAAGCACUUGAUGAGCAAGAAGAGGAGUGUAAAUUAAUGAGAGUGGGAAAGCUGUUUUACAGGCCAAUAACCUGAUACCAAAUGCAUGUAGACCAGAAAUAGGCAUUUCUACAGAGAUCUGUGCUCUAUAAUAAAAGCAGUACAGUGCUACUUAUUUCGUUCAAGUUGAAUUCUGCAUCCUUUCUUGGAAUAUGCCCAAAAUUAUGAAUAAUGAAACUUCAUUUUAUUCCCAGUGACUUUUAUAUUAAGACAAAUGUGGGUAAAAUUCCUGAUUUUUUUUUGCAUGGUUUUGAACAUCACUUUCCUAUUUCCAAGCAGGAUGCGGUGGUUGCUCACUAAGCAGUGCAUCAUGCUAAAGAUGGCAUACUAUAAAUGAUCUGAGAAAUCCCUGCUUUUCUUCCUAAAUAAACAAUACUGCAUUAUUACUGGGCCAAAUUUGUGCUAUUCUGACUCAAGCUUAGAUUUAGGUGGUAAAAGCAAACUGGAUCUAUUCUGAAUGUUCCUCUCCAUUGCUUAUUAAUUGUAGGAAAAUGUAUUAGUAAAGCAAAAGGACUACUCUUCCUCUGUUCAUUCCUACAUUCUCAUCCUUUUCUUUAAAGCUAUGUCUACCAAACUGCUGAGCCCCCAGUUCUGUACAGGCAGAGUGAAAUUGCUGUGGCUCAUGCUGUGAGUGUGAAACCCAGGCUGGAGCUGAAUGGCAUCAUAUCACUAAUUAACAUGUGCAAAAUCCUAAGAGAGGGAAAUUAAUGAGGUGGAGAAACUUGUGUUGCAGAAAGAGCUGAUAACUAAUGUUCCUUUUUAUUGUAUAUUUUUGUUUGUUUCUGAAAUUUGUGUGCUUAAAAAUCUGCAUCUGUAGGUCAGGGUAGGGAAACCAUGGACAGACAUUAAAAAUAGAACAAG
rnacentral:lncRNA from 7 species